GGGGAAUUUUGGACAAUGGGCGCAAGCCUGAUCCAGCCAUGCCGCGUGAGUGAAGAAGGCCUUCGGGUUGUAAAGCUCUUUCGGACGGGAAGAAAUGGCGGGAUCUAACAUAGCCUGUCGAUGACGGUACCGUAAGAAGAAGCACCGGCUAACUACGUGCCAGCAGCCGCGGUAAUACGUAGGGUGCGGGCGUUAAUCGGAAUUACUGGGCGUAAAGCGUGCGCAGGCGGUUUUGUAAGACAGAUGUGAAAUCCCCGGGCGUAACCUGGGAACUGCGUUUGUGACUGCAAGGCUGGAGUACGGCAGAGGGGGGUGGAAUUCCACGUGUAGCAGUGAAAUGCGUAGAGAUGUGGAGGAACACCGAUGGCGAAGGCAGCCCCCUGGGCCUGUACUGACGCUCAUGCACGAAAGCGUGGGGAGCAAACA
rnacentral:rRNA from 1 species